rnacentral:rRNA from 1 species
GACGAACGCUGGCGGCGUGCUUAACACAUGCAAGUCGAACGGAAAGGCCCUGCUUUUGUGGGGUGCUCGAGUGGCGAACGGGUGAGUAACACGUGAGUAACCUGCCCUUGACUUUGGGAUAACUUCAGGAAACUGGGGCUAAUACCGGAUAGGAGCUCCUGCUGCAUGGUGGGGGUUGGAAAGUUUCGGCGGUUGGGGAUGGACUCGCGGCUUAUCAGCUUGUUGGUGGGGUAGUGGCUUACCAAGGCUUUGACGGGUAGCCGGCCUGGGAGGGUGACCGGCCACAUUGGGACUGAGAUACGGCCCAGACUGCUACGGGAGGCAGCAGUGGGGAAUAUUGCACAAUGGGCGGAAGCCUGAGGCAGCAACGCCGCGUGCGGGAUGACGGCCUUCGGGUUGUAAACCGCUUUCGCCUGUGACGAAGCGUGAGUGACGGUAAUGGGUAAAGAAGCACCGGCUAACUACGUG